UAGUUUAAAUGACCAAUGAGCACUGUUAUCUGGGUUGAUUGACAGUUGACAUUCUUUAGAAUUAUUUUUUGAUUGACAGGGCGUCGUCAAGGAGACGUUCGACUCAGUCAGUCCCGCGCCAGUGUCGUGCCAAAAAGUCCUUCCAGGGAAGUCCCUCUCUACUUUGAACAACUUCAUCACGACUUUGAUGGAUUAUUUCAUUGAUUCACUUUCCUCAUACUCAGGUCUUGUUGUGCCUUUGGAUAUACUAAUCCGUAUUCUGUCGGAAGCUCUGCAGUUUUGAGCACUUCAGGCGUCGGGGUAACGCUCUUCGCUCAGCAUCCAAACCGUGCCACCUCCACCAACAGCCAGAUCAGCUGUCGAUGGGGCAUUGCGUUAUCACUACCAGAGCAACGAGGUACCAUUCCAGUGAGAUUUCCACAAAGAGAAGUGUCAAGAUAAAAACCAGAUGCACCAUGGACCCUUUCAACCUCAACACAAGUCCAACCAAGGACAAGUAAAACAUCCAGGUUAGAGGAGGAAGAGGACAGCAUCACAACACCACCUGACCCCUUGAUAUCUGGCAUUUGGA